rnacentral:lncRNA from 1 species
CGUUGCCACAGUUUUAAGAUCUCUCUACGCUUGUAUCCGUGGAUCUCUGCCUGCUUAAUUAUCCAUUCUGGUUCUUCUUGAUUGUUUUGCCAGGUGGAGCAGUGUGUCUGUGUUCUGUUUGGGAGAGCCCUAAAUGCCGCCAUUUUUGUGUGCCAGGGUUCUUUGGAAUCUCUAUGGAUAAACAAUGUGUCUGUAUUCUUUGGAUCCUAAAUAGAAUACAGACACAUUGUUCUACCUGGAAAAACAAUCAAGAAGAAUUAGAAUGGAUAAUUAAGCAGGCAGAGAUCCACGGAUACAAGCGUAGAGAGAUAUUAAAACUGUGGCAAUGUAUAAACAAACAAAAAACAAACAAACAAAGACGAGAGAACAAAGAACAGUAUAAGAAUCCUUAC